rnacentral:rRNA from 1 species
GUGGAUGCCUUGGUAUCGAGAGGCGAUGAAGGACGUGAUACGCUGCGAAAAGCUUCGGGGAGCUGCGAAUGGGCUUUGAUCCGAAGAUAUCCGAAUGGGGAAACCCGGCCCUUUAGGGUCAUCUGCUGCUGAAUACAUAGGCGGUGGAAGCGAACCCGGUGAACUGAAACAUCUCAGUAACCGGAGGAAAGGACAUCAACCGAGACUCCGUUAGUAGUGACGAGCGAACGCGGACCAGGCCAGUGGCCGAGAGGUAAGAACCGGAAGCGUCUGGAAAGACGCGCCAGAGCGGGUGACAGCCCCGUACGGGUAGAAAGCUUCUCGGUCCUCGAGUAGGGCGGGACACGUGAAAUCCUGUCUGAACAUGGGGGGACCACCCUCCAAGCCUAAGUACUCCUCAGCGACCGAUAGCGAACCAGUACCGUGAGGGAAAGGUGAAAA